rnacentral:lncRNA from 1 species
UGUCAACACAAAACCACAUUCCAAAAUAAAAAUCCAUUUUAAAGCCCCUAAACUUAACCAUUUUCAACCAACCAAGUCAUCUAACCAAACCACAUUCCAAAACAAAAAUCCCUUCUAAAGUCCAUAAAUUUAACCCUUUACGAGCAUCUAAGUGUCAAAACAAAACCACAUUCAAAAAUAAAAAUUCCUUUUGAAGUCCCUAAACUUAACCAUUUUCAGCCAACCAAGUCACCUAACAAAACCACAUUCCAAAAUAAAAAUCUCUUCUAAAGUCCUUAAACUUAACCAUUUUCGAGCAUCUAAGUGUCAAAACAAAACCACAUGUCAAAACAAAAAUCCCUUUUAAAGUCCCUAAACUUAACCAUUUUCAACCAACCAAGUCAUCAAACAAAACCACAUUCACUAACAAAAAUCUCUUCUAAAGUCCCUAAACUUAACCAUUUCCGAGCAUCUAAGUGUCAAAACAAAACCACAUUCCAAAACAAAAAUCCCUUCUAAAAGUCCACAAACUUAACCAUUUUUGAGCAUCUACGUGUCAAAACAAAACCACAUUCCAAAUCAAAAAUCUCUUUUAAAGUCCGUAGACCUAACACUUUUUAAUCAAGUGUCAAAACAAAACCACAUUCCAAAUCAAAAAUCCCUUCUAAAGUACCUAAACUUAACCAUUUUCAACCAACCAAGUCACCUAAAAAAACCAUAUUCCAAAAAAGAAAUCCCUUCUAAAGUCUGUAAACUUAACCAUUUUCGAGCAUCUAAGUGUCAAAAUAAAAUCACAUUCCAAAACAAAUAUCUCUUUUAAAGUCCCUAAACCUAACACUUUUUAUCCAAGUGUCAAAACAAAACCACAUUCCAAAAUAAAAAUCCCUUCUAAAGUCCCUAAACUUAACCAUUUUCAACCAACCAAGUCACCUAACAAAACCGCAUUCCAAAACAUAAUCCCCUUCUAAAGUCCCUAAACUUAACCAUUUUCGAGCAUCUAAGUAUCAAAACAAAACCACAUUCCAAAAUAAAAAUUCAUUUUAAAGUCCCUAAACUUAACCAUUUUCAACCAACCAAGUCACCUAACAAAACCACAUUCCAAAACAAAAUACCCUUCUAAAGUCCCUAAACUUAACCAUUUUCAAGCAUCUAAGUGUCAAAACAAAACCACAUUUCAAACAAAAAUUCAUUUUAAAGUUCCUAAACUUAACCAUUUUCAACAAACCAAGUCACCGAACAAAACCACAUUCCAAAACAAAAUAACCUUCUAAAGUCCCUAAACUUAACCAUUUUCGAGCAUCUAAGUGUCAAAACAAAACCACAUUCCAAAACAAAAAUCCAUUUUAAAGUCCCUAAACUUAACUAUUUUCAACCAACCAAGUCAACUAACCAAACCACAUUCCAAAACACAAAUCUCUUCUAAAGUCCGUAAACUUAACAAUUUUAGAGCAUCUAAGUGUCAAAACAAAACCACAUUCCAAAAUAAAAAUCCCUUUUAAAGUCCCUAAACUUAACCAUUUUCAACCAACCAAGUCACCUAACAAAACCACAUUCCAAAAUAAAAAUCUCUUCUAAAGUCCUUAAAUUUAACCAUUUUCAAGCAUCUAAGUGUCAAAACAAAACCACAUUCCAAAACCAAAAUUCAUUUUAAAGUCCCUAAAUUUAACCAUUGUCAACCAACCAAGUCACCUAACAAAAACACAUUCCAAAACAAAAAUCUCUUCUAAAGUCCCUAACUUAACCAUUUCCGAGCAUCGAAUUGUCAAAAAAAAACCACAUUCCAAAACAAAAUCCCUUCUAAAGUCCACAAACUUAACCAUUUUCGAGCAUCUAAGUGUCAAAAUAAAACCACAUUUCAAAUCAAAAAUCUCUUUUAAAGUCCCUAAACCUAACACCUUUGAACCAAGUGUUAAAACAAAACCACAUUCCAAAACAAAAAUCCCUUCAAAAGUCCCUAAACUAUUUUCAACCAACCAAGUAACCUAACAAAACCACAUUCCAAAACAAAAUACCCCUCUAAAGUCCCUAAACUUAACCAUUUUCGAGCAUCUCAGUGUUAAAACAAAACCACAUUACCAAAAAAAAAAUCCCUUCUAAAGUCCGUAAGCUUAACCAUUUUCGAGCAUCUAAGUGUCAAAAUAAAAUCACAUUCCAAAACAAAAAUCUGUUUUAAAGUCCGUAAACCUAAAACUUUCUAUCCAAGUGUCAAAACAAAGCCACAUUCCAAAACAAAAAUCCCUUCUAAAGUCCCUAAACUUAACCAUUUUCAACCAACCAAGUCGCCUAACAAAACCACAAUCCAAAACAUAAUCCUCUUCUAAAGUCCCUAAACUUAACCAUUUUCGAGCAUCUAAGUGUCAAAACAAAACCACAUUCCAAAACAAAAAUUCAUUUUAAAGUCCCUAAACUUAACCAUUUUCAACCAACCAAGUCACCUAACAAAACCACAUUCCAAAACAAAAUCUCCUUCUAAAGUCCCUUAACUAUUUUCGAGCAUCUAAGUGUCAAAACAAAACCACAUUCCAAAACAAAAAUCCCUUCUAAAGUCCACAAACUUAACCAUUUUCGAGCAUUUAAGUGUCAAAAUAAAACCACAUUCCAAAAUAAAAAUCUAUUUUAAAGUCCCUAAACUUAACUAUUUUCGGACAAGUAAGUGUCAAAACAAAACAACAUUCCAAAACAAAAAUCCCUUCUAUAGUCCACAAACUUAACCAUUUUCGAGCAUCUAAGUGUCAAAACAAAACCACAUUCCAAAAUAAAAAUCCAUUUUAAAGUCCCUAAACUUAACCAUUUUCAACCAACCAAGUCACCUAACCAAACCACAUUCCAAAACAAAAAUCACUUCUAAAGUCCGUAAACUUAACCAUUUUCGAGAAUCAAAGUGUCAAAACAAAACCACAUUCAAAAAUAAAAAUCCCUUUUAAAGUCCCUAAACUUAACCAUUUCCAACCAACCAAGUCACCUAACAAAACCACAUUCCAAAAUAAAAAUCUCUUCUAAAGUUCUUAAACUUAACCAUUUUCGAGCAUCUAAGCGUCAAAAUAAAACCACAUUCCAAAACAAAAAUCCCUUUUAAAGUCCCUUAACUUAACCAUUUUCAACCAACCAAGUCACCCAACAAAACCACAUUCCAAAAUAAAAAUCUCCUCUAAAGUCCAUAAACUUAACCAUUUCCGAGCAUCUAAGUGUCAAAACAAAACCACAUUCCAAAACAAAAAUCCCUUCUAAAGUUCACAAAUUGAACCAUUUUCGAGCAUCUAAGUGUCAAAACGAAACAACAUUCCAUAUCAAAAAUCUCUUUUAUAGACCCUAAACCUAACACUUUUUAACCAAGUGUCAAAACAAAACCACAUUCCAAAACAAAAAUCCCUUCUAAAGUCCCUAAACUUAACAAUUUUCAACCAACCAAGUCACCUAACAAAACCACAUUCCAAAACAAAAUACCCUUCAAAAGUCCCUAAACUUAACCAUUUUGGAGCAUCUCUGUGUCAAAACAAAAUUUCAUUACAAAAAAAAAUCCCUUCUAAAGUCCGUAAACUUAACCAUUUUCGAGCAUCUAAGUGUCAAAAUAAAAUCACAUUUCAGAACAAAAAUCUCUUUUAAAGUCUCUAAACCUAACACUUUUUAUCCAAGUGUCAAAACAAAACCACAUUCCAAAACAAAAAUCCCUUCUAAAGUCCCUAAACUUAACCAUUUUCAACCAACCAAGUCACCUAACAAAACCCUAUUCCAAAACAUAAUCCCCUUCUAAAGUCCCUAAACUUAACCAUUUUCGAGCAUCUAAGUGUCAAAACAAAACCACAUUCCAAAACAAAAAAUUAUUUUAAAGUCCCUAAACUUAACCAUUUUCAACCAACCAAGUCACCUAACAAAACCCUAUUCCAAAACAUAAUCCCCUUCUAAAGUCCCUAAACUUAACCAUUUUCGAGCAUCUAAGUGUCAAAACAAAACCACAUUCCAAAAAGAAAUCCCUUCUAAAGUCCGUACACUUAACCAUUAUCGAGCAUCCAAGUGUCAAAACAAAAUCACAUUCCAAAACAAAAAUCUCUUUUAAAGUCCCUAAACCUAACACUUUUUUUCCAAGUAUCAUAACAAAAGCACAUUUCCAAACAAAAAUCCCUUCUAAAGUCCCUAAACUUAACCAUUUUCAACCAACCAAGUCACCAAACAAAACCACAUUCCAAAACAUAAUGCCUUUCUAAAGUCCCUAAACUUAACCAUUUUCGAGCAUCUAAGUGUCAAAAGAAAAUCACAUUCCAAAACAAAAAUCCAUUUUAAAAUUCCUAAACUUAACCAUUUUCUACCAACCAAGUCACCUAACAAAACCACAUUCCAAAACAAAAUCUCCUUCUAAAGUCCCUAAACUUAACCAUUUUCGAGCAUCUAUGUGUCAAAACAAAACCACAUUCUAAAACCAAAAUCCAUUUUAAAGUUCCUAAACUUAACCAUUUUCAACCGACCAAGUCACCUAACAAAAUCACAUUCCAAAACAAAAUCCCCUUCUAAAAUCCCUAAACUUAACCAUUUUCGAGCAUCUAAGUAUCAAAACAAAACCACAUUCCAAAACAAAAAUCCAUUUUAAAAUCCCUAAACUUAACUAUUUUCAACCAACUAAGUCGCCUAACAAAACCACAUUACAAAACAAAAUCCCCUUCUAAAGUCCCUAAACUUAACCAUUUUCAAGCAUCUAAGUGUCAAAACGAAACCACAUUCCGAAAUAAAAAUCCAUUUUAAAGUCCCCUAAACUUAACCAUUUUCAAUCAACCACGUCACCUAACAAAACCACAUUCCAAAACAAAAUCCCCUUCUAAAGUCCCUAAACUUAACCAUUUUCGAGCAUCUAAGUGUCAAAACAAAAUCACAUUCCAAAACAAAAAUCCCUUUUAAAGUCCCUAAACUUAACCAUUUUCAACCAACCAAGUCACCUAAAAAAACCACAUUCCAAAAUAAAAAUCUCUUUUAAAGUUCCUAAACUUAAUCAUUUUUGAGCAUCUAAGUGUCAAAACAAAACCACAUUAUAUUCUAAAACAAAAAUCCCUUAUAAAGUCCCUAAACUUAACCAUUCUCAACCAAUCAAGUCACCUAACAAAACCACAUUCCAAAACAAAAUCUCCUUCUAAAGUCACAUUAAGCAAGUAAAUCGCCGGUGAAGUCACUAGACUUAACCAUUUACGAGUAACUAAUCCGCCAAACAAGUCACAUUCCAAACAAAAAAAUCACUUAUAAAGUCCCUAAACUAAACCAUGUUCAAAUGACAAAGUCGCCAAACAAACUACAUUCUAAAUAAAAAAAUCACGUAUAAAGUCCCUAGACUUAACCAU